AUUGAACGCUGGCGGCAGGCUUAACACAUGCAAGUCGACCGUGUGGAGGACGGGUGAGUAAUGUUUGGGACUCUAGCCUAUGGAGGGUGAUAACUACGGGAACCAGUAGCUCAUACCGCUUACCAUCGGAUGAGCACAAGUGGGAUUAGGUAGUUGGGGAGGUAAAGGCUAACCAAGCCGACGAUCUCUAGCUGGUCUGAGAGGAUGACCACCCACACGGGGACCGAGACACGGCCAAGACUCAUACGGGCGGAAGCAGUGGGGAAUAUUGCGCAAUGGGCGCAAACUGAUGCAGCCAUGCCGCGUGUAUGAAGAAGGCCUUCGGGUUGUAAAGUGCUUGCGGUAGGGAGGCGUUAACUACAGAAGAAGCACCGUCUAGCUCCGUGCCAGCAGGCGCGGUAAUAC
rnacentral:rRNA from 1 species